rnacentral:rRNA from 1 species
UUUGCGUCGAAGGUAUACCGGUAAGGAGUGCUGGAGCGAAUAGAAGUGAGCAUGCAGGCAUGAGUAGCGAUAAUUAAUGUGAGAAUCAUUAACGCCGUAAACCCAAGGUUUCCUACGCGAUGCUCGUCAUCGUAGGGUUAGUCGGGUCCUAAGUCGAGUCCGAAAGGGGUAGACGAUGGCAAAUUGGUUAAUAUUCCAAUACCAACAUUAGUGUGCGAUGGAAGGACGCUUAGGGCUAAGGGGGCUAGCGGAUGGAAGUGCUAGUCUAAGGUCGUAGGAGGUUAUAUAGGCAAAUCCGUAUAACAAUACUCCGAGAACUGAAAGGCUUUUUGAAGUCUUCGGAUGGAUAGAAGAACCCCUGAUGCCGUCGAGCCAAGAAAAGUUUCUAAGUUUAGCUAAUGUUGCCCGUACCGUAAACCGACACAGGUGGGUGGGAUGAGUAUUCUAAGGCGCGUGGAAGAACUCUCUUUAAGGAACUCUGCAAAAUAGCACCGUAUCUUCGGUAUAAGGUGUGGUUAGCUUUGUAUUAGGAUUUACUCCGAAAGCAAGGAAACUUACAACAAAGAGUCCCUCCCGACUGUUUACCAAAAACACAGCACUCUGCUAACUCGUAAGAGGAUGUAUAGGGUGUGACGCCUGCCCGGUGCUCGAAGGUUAAUUGAUGGGGUUAGCAUUAGCGAAGCUCUUGAUCGAAGCCCGAGUAAACGGCGGCCGUAACUAUAACGGUCCUAAGGUAGCGAAAUUCCUUGUCGGUUAAAUACCGACCUGCAUGAAUGGCGUAACGAGAUGGGAGCUGUCUCAAAGAGGGAUCCAGUGAAAUUGUAGUGGAGGUGAAAAUUCCUCCUACCCGCGGCAAGACGGAAAGACCCCGUGGACCUUUACUACAGCUUGACACUGCUACUUGGAUAAGAAUGUGCAGGAUAGGUGGGAGGCUUUGAGUAUAUGACGCCAGUUGUAUAUGAGCCAUUGUUGAGAUACCACUCUUUCUUAUUUGGGUAGCUAACCAGCUUGAGUUAUCCUCAAGUGGGACAAUGUCUGGUGGGUAGUUUGACUGGGGCGGUCGCCUCCCAAAUAAUAACGGAGGCUUACAAAGGUUGGCUCAGAACGGUUGGAAAUCGUUCGUAGAGUAUAAAGGUAUAAGCCAGCUUAACUGCAAGACAUACAAGUCAAGCAGAGACGAAAGUCGGUCUUAGUGAUCCGGUGGUUCUGUGUGGAAGGGCCAUCGCUCAAAGGAUAAAAGGUACCCCGGGGAUAACAGGCUGAUCUCCCCCAAGAGCUCACAUCGACGGGGAGGUUUGGCACCUCGAUGUCGGCUCAUCGCAUCCUGGGGCUGGAGCAGGUCCCAAGGGUAUGGCUGUUCGCCAUUUAAAGCGGUACGCGAGCUGGGUUCAGAACGUCGUGAGACAGUUCGGUCCCUAUCUGCCGUGGGCGUAAGAAGAUUGAAGAGAUUUGACCCUAGUACGAGAGGACCGGGUUGAACAAACCACUGGUGUAGCUGUUGUUCUGCCAAGAGCAUCGCAGCGUAGCUAAGUUUGGAAAGGAUAAACGCUGAAAGCAUCUAAGCGUGAAGCCAACUCUAAGAUGAAUCUUCUCUAAGCUCUCUAGAAGACUACUAGUUUGAUAGGCUGGGUGUGUAAUGGAUGAAAGUCCUUUAGCUGACCAGUACUAAUAGAGCGUUUGGCUUAUCUUUAAUAAAGCAU